rfam:Picea glauca, whole genome shotgun sequence.
ACAUGCCUACAACAUAGCGUUAAUGUACUGGAUCCCAUUUGAACUCCACAAUUAAGCGCGCAUGGGCUAGAGUAUUACUAGGAUGGGUGACCGCCCGAGAAGUCCUACUAUUUUACAUGUC